AUAGUAAUUAAAGAACCGAACGGAGAAGAGAGAGGCGCCGGCGGGUUUUGUGAGGGACAGAGAAAAGUGGAAAGUGAGUCAACUUCCGAGUCGUAAGUUCCGAGUCGCGUGACUCAGACGCUAGGGUUUGAGCAUUGCGCAAUGUCUGUGAAAGCUUCUUAUUCAUCGGAUAGUCUAAUGCUUCCGGUAUCCGAUCCUCCGAACGACGAAGAUCGAGAGAGGCUUUUGAAGGGCGAUAGUAAGAAUUUCAAAGGACGAGGGAUCUACGCUGCUAUCUCCUACAUGUCUUGUGCAGUGCUCUUGGUGCUGUUCAAUAAGGCCUCUCUUUCAUCUUACCACUUUCCAUCUGCCAAUGUCAUUACACUUCUUCAGAUGGUAUGCUCGUGUUGUUUUCUCUAUGUAUUGAGGCGCUGGAGGAUAAUUUCUUUUACGGCAGGUGAAUCAGUAAUUAAAGCAGAUAACUCAAAAAAAUUUGUGCCCCUGAAGACUUUGAAGCGCACUCUUCCUCUGGCAGGAUCAUAUUUACUUUACAUGCUAGCCACCAUGGAGUCUGUUCGUGGAGUAAAUGUUCCAAUGUAUACCACCCUUAGGAGGACAACAGUUGUAUUUACAAUGCUUGUAGAAUACGUGCUGGUGGGGCAGAGGUAUAAAUCUUCAGUCAUUUUCAGGUUGUUAUCAGUGUUGGCUUGAUUGUCUUUGGUGCUUUUGUUGCGGGAGCACGGGACUUCUCUUUUGAUACCUAUAGCUAUGCCAUUGUUUUCCUGUCAAACAUCACCACUGCUAUGUAUCUUGCAACCAUAGCUCGUGUUGGCAAAACUAGUGGCCUUAAUAGCUUUGGACUUAUGUGGUGCAACAGUAUAAUCUGUGGGCCAGUUUUGUUUAUUUGGACACUAGUUCGGGGUGACUUGAAGAUGACAAUCAAUUUUCCUAACCUGCUCUCAACUGGUUUUAUUGUUGUUUUGCUUUUUUCAUGCAUACUUGCUUUCUUCCUGAAUUACAGUAUUUUUCUGAACACAACCCUGAAUUCAGCUCUGACACAGACAAUUUGUGGUAAUCUGAAGGACCUGUUUACCAUUGGCUUUGGCUGGAUAAUUUUUGGUGGGCUGCCGUUUGAUUUUUGGAAUGUAAUUGGGCAAUUGCUCGGUUUUGCGGGUUCUGGUUUAUAUGCUUAUUAUAAGCUCAUUGGCAAAUAACCAAAAUUCUUUGGUUGACGUCUUUAUGAAUUUGGGACUGGUAUCUGCUUCCUUCAUAUGAUAGCCAUUUAAAAGCAGAAGAAUCUGAAUCGACCUUCUAUCUGUACAAAAUGUGAUAAAGCUAAUCUAAUUUAGUAGGAGAUUUUGCUGAGUGAGAACCUGACCUGAAUACAUGCUUUAAUGUCUUCAGAUCGCCUUUGAUCUAGCAAUGAGUUCACUUAUUGCAUCUGAUCAAGCCGUUGAAACUUCAAAUUUCUGGACUUUACAUGUACUUGUUCAUUUUAAUUUUGGAGGGUAUGAAAUCGUGAUAUAGAAGAAAAGGUAAGUUUUGAGGUUUGAAGAGACCUUCCGUUACUUGAGCUACUGCUGUUUGGUCAUCGACCUAUUUUCAUCUUAUGCUCCUUGCAUCAACAUUAGUAACACGAAAAAUAAUAAGAAGAAAAAUCACGAUGAAUUUCCUACCAUAUUAGCUGGCAUAUCUAUCUGCAAUGGUUGGGAAUUGGGUACGUUCUUUUGCUCCUUAAUGUCCUGCUUUCCCGUCUUCUAAGGAGUCGUGGGGAAUGGAAAG